AAGAGAUGUGUGAUGACGCAUAUCAAUAAGCGGAGGAAAAGAAACUAACAAGGAUUCCCUUAGUAACGGCGAGUGAAGCGGGAAGAGCUCAAAUUUGAAAUCUUCAAGGUUCUACCUUGACGAAUUGUAGUUUAUAGAAGUGUUUUCUGUUAGUAGAGUGGCAAAAGUUCUUUGGAAUAGGACAUCAUAGAGGGUGAGAAUCCCGUAUUUAGUCAUUCUUUCUAGCUUUGUGAUACACUUUCAACGAGUCGGAUUGUUUGGGAAUGCAGUCCAAAAUGGGUGGUAAAUUUCAUCUAAAGCUAAAUAUUGGCGAGAGACCGAUAGCGAACAAGUACCGUGAGGGAAAGAUGAAAAGAACUCUGAAAAGAGAGUUAAACAGUACGUGAAAUUGUCAAAAGGGAAGCGUUUGACACCAGUGUUGUUUUUCCGAAAAUCAAUUACGAAUGUUUUAUUUUUGAGAAGUUAUGACUUCAUCGGCUUGCUUCUCUCUUUACUGAAACUUUCUUAAUGCACUUUUCGGUUAACAAGUCAACAUCAAUUUCUUUUGUUGUAAAAGGGUAUGAGGAAGGUGGCUUUCUUUUCGGAGAAAGUGUUUAUAGCCUUGUACCUCUGCAAUCGGAGAGAUUGAGGUCUGCAGCGUAGAUCCUUCGGGGUUAGAUACAUUUGUGCUAAGUUAUAGCUUUUCAUAGACAACUUGUUGACUAUGUUAAGUCUUGUAGCUUACUCGCUUAUGCUAUUUUACCUACGCUUAGGAUGUUGAAGAUGUAGCACAUCAU
rnacentral:rRNA from 1 species